GGCACGGCGGGGAGGUCAGCGCGGCGGGCGUGGCGGGCCUGUUCGCACGGGAAGCGCUGGGCGGGCUGGCGUUCGGGGCGCUGCUGGGCGGCC
rnacentral:tRNA from 1 species